rnacentral:lncRNA from 1 species
CCUUGUGACCCAAGUAGUGCUAUUUUCGUUUCCUGAGAGAGACGUAAGAGGUGUUGAGAUUUCAGUUUCCGAGUUGGAGGUGAGCCCUAUGGGAUCGCAUUGAUGAUGAUCUUUAAUCAGAGUAGCUGACAGUAGAUCUAUCGCGAGGGAAUGAUAUAGCAUGAGCAGGUUGUCAGUGGGGACUGAGAUGGUAAAUGUUGGAAUAGUGUCUAAGGCUGCAACUAUAUUAGGCAAGUAUUUGACCCGAUUGUGUACGGUCCUUUUGGUUUGCCUUCACCAUAGCAACUUGACAGGAUGAUUUGUAAUGAGAGAAGAAAUAUUAUUUAUAUAUUAUGAAAAUAAUAUAAGGAAUAAUAAUAUUGUUAUUUGAUUAAUAUAAGUCAUAAAUUAAUUAGGAAUUAAUUUGGUGACUUAAAGAGAUUAAUUGAAUAAAAGGGCAUAAACUGUCAAUUGUAUGAUAGUUGUACUUUGGGCUAUAAUCCCUUAAGGAUAAGGGGUGGACGAUUUUAGGGCUUUGGAUAGACCUAGAAAUCGUCCAAGGCUUAUCAUAAGGGGGAUUGGAUUGCUUAGGGCCUAAGUUAUCCAAUUAGGGUUUAAGGGUGAAACCCUAGGAGCCUUACAAGUNUCCUCUCUCCUCUCUCUAUAAUCAUCCUCUUGCUAGUUGGUGUUUGUAAGCCAUUAGAGGAGUGACACUUGUGACUCUAAAGCUCCAAGGACAAGAAGAUUCAAGCAAGUGAUUCAAGGUAAUCAUCUAAAUCUGAUUUCUUAUGUUAUUAUACUAGAAUUGUCAUUAGAAGUCUUGGAUUCAAUGCAUGUUCAAUUAGAGAAACCUAGAUCCGAGCAUUAGGGUUUGUAUGUGCACAUAGGAAUGUUCAUAUGGCUAAAACCCAUCAGUGGUAUCAGAGCCUUGAUUAGUUUCUAUUGAAUUGAUGCAUUAGUUGCUUGUUUGUUGCUUGCAAAAUUCGAAUUUUGUCAUUCUUCCUGAUGAACUCAGUGAGUUCCAUAGUGGACUCGGCGAGUCCAUUGUGGUACUCGGCGAGUUCGAGCGUCAGAAAGAGCUAAUUUCGGGAUUUCUUGUUGUUUAUAUUUUGGAUACUUACCUUAAUCUUAAUAGGUCAAUAUAAAUCCGAUUUUAAUAUAUAUUUGAGUAUAUUCUUGACCUAAUUGAAGAUAUUUAUCAAUUAAUUGAAUAUUAAUUUCCAUAUGUAAUAAUUGAUUAAUUAUUUUAAUUAAAUUGGUAAAUUGUUUUGCAAGAAAUAAUUUAAUAAAUCAAAUAUGGAUAAUUAUGUGAUUAAAUGUUAAUUUGGAUUAUUUUUUAUUUGAUCCCCUAUGUUUUGAAAAGUUUAAAACUUGCCCUCAAGUUUUGAAAUUUAUGUUUUGUGAUUAAAAGUUUAAUUUAGACAAUUUAAAUUUCAAACCCUAGAAUUUUACAAGUUUAAAAUUCAACCCUAUACUAAUAUAAUAUUACAAGAUUAAUAUGUAUAUAUAUGUAUAACUAAAAAUGCUAGUCUUACCGUUAGUAGGCCUCAUUCACGAAGCCGGUCUAUAAGGUGGGUAUAAGGUUGCGGCCUAUAAAAUGGCGCUUAAUGGGUGUACACUCACACCCACCGCUUGCUUGAUCGGUGGAGGGUCGUUAGCCGAACGGGUAGGAUAGGGCAACCUCAUCUCCUCAUUAAAAGUAUAAUAUGAAAUACAAAGUAACUACAUGUUUUUCAAAAAUUCCCAAUCCUAGUUACUUUAGGAAAAGUGAAUUGAUGCAAUCCCAUGAAAUUACACUUUGCACCCUUGCUAAGAAGUUAGUGGAGCGUGUGUGGUUUACCGGCACACUAAUUGGUUCUAAGCAAAGGUGGCAAAGGGUGAUUCAUUGUUUAUCAUAGUUCGAUGGAGCGUGUGUGGUUUACCGGCACAUCGAAUAGGUGAUUGUUACAAUGAAGGCACCAUGUGAAUUUGCAUGGUAAUUCACACCCACUUUGUGAUCCUCGGUAUCCCAGUCACAAACGAGAGGGGCAUAUCGAGAUUUAAACAUGCCAUUGAAAAGUUUAAUGAAUCUCAUCCAAACCUAGGAAUUCUCAAUACAUUUAGAACUUAAAGUUAUGUUUUCAUGGUGGAGAAUUAGUGAAUCGUCAUUCACUUACCUUCAAAUUGUUUGCAUGUUAGAUUACGACAUCCCUUUUCUAAUAUGUAAAUAUUGUUGUUGGAUCCUAGCCCUAAUUUUUCUUAUUGGGUGAUAAUUAGGGAUUCAUAUUCUAAUCUAUCUUUGUCCUUUCUAUUUGUAGAUGUCGAACGCAAACAACGCUGCUGCUAGUUCUUUCACAUUGAUGAGCCUUUGUCAAAAGGUCACUUUCGAUGGGACGAACUUUAGCGAAUGGAUAAGAUACAUUCGCACGAUUGCUCGCUAUGAGGACAAGGAGUAUGUCCUCGAUGAGAAGCUCGAGAAAAUCAACCCUGAAAUCGCUACUCCGGCUGAAAUGACCGCUUUUGAAACUCAUGAGCGAGAUGCAACGAAGGUACAUUGCAUCAUGAUAGCCACUAUGAACUCCGAAUUCCAAAAGUCCUAUGAGGACAUGUACCCGUACGAGAUGCAUCAAGACUUAUUGGAGAGAUACCACCAAAACGCGAGACAAGAGCGUUAUGAGAUUUUCACUAACAUGAUUUCCGCUAAGAUGGGUCAUGGAGAGUCUCUUACCGUGCACCUGCAAAAGAUGCAAAGGUAUGUCGACCGUCUUCGCAAGUUGAAUGUUGACUUUGGGGAAGACUUGGCGAUCGACAUGGUGCUUCACUCUUUGCCUCCAAGCUACAAUCAAUUUAGGAUGACCUACCACAUGAACAAAGAGGAGGUCACCCUAAGCAAACUCCAAGGUCUCUUGAGGGUCGCUGAGAGCAACUUCAAGGACAAGUCUGUUGCACCAACUCCCAAUCCACCCGCUGCUCCUGUCUUGGCUAUUGGACAAGGAAAGGGAAAGAAGAGGAAGGCUUCGUCUAAGAACUAUCGCAAGGUUAAAGCCCGAGAUGGUGCCUCUUCUAGUGGGACCAAAGUUGAUCCUGCUAAGCCCUGCCCUAACCCAAAGGAGGCAGAGUGCCACCACUGCCACAAGAUAGGACAUUGGAAGAGAAGCUGCCCAGAGUACCUGCAAGCCAUCAAGGAAGGAAAGAUCAAGCCAUCUUUCGCAGGUAUAUACACAAUUAAAUCUAACGAUUCUAAUCAUGCUAUUUCUUGGGUUCUUGAUACCGGUUGUGGUUACCACAUUUGUUCUAAUGUGCAGGGACUAAGAAGAAGUAGGGAUGUGGAGCAAGGAAGGAUCAAUCUAAUCAUGGGGAACAGAAGAUCGUCGCCUGUGACCAAGAUUGGAGUGUAUUCUUUAGUGCUUAGGAAUAGUUUAUGUUUAGAUUUGAACAAUUGUUGCUAUUCGCCAGAAAUGGCUAGAAACAUCAUUUCAUUUCAUGGUUUGUUUAGACAAGGUUUUAGAUUUUCUUUUAAUAAUGAGAAUGGUUCUAUUUUGGCUUAUCUAAAUGGUGUCUUUUAUUUUGAAGCUAUACCAUGUAAUGGAAUUUAUGAAACUGUUAUGAUUGUUGAUAACUUAGGAAAUGAUGUUUUGAACAUAGAUUCUUCCAAUAGUAUGGAUAAAGCAUCCUUGUGGCAUUGUCUUCUUGGACAUGUCAACAAGAAGCGCAUAGCCUAACUCCAAAAGGAUGGAGUGUUGGAGUCAUUCGACCUUAGGGAAGAUGACACAUGCGAGUCUUGUUUACUUGGAAAGAUGACCAAGUCACCCUUCACUAGUACAUGUGAAAGGGGUGAGGGUCUAUUGGACCUAAUACAUACCGAUGUAUGUGGACCGUUUAGAUCAACCACGAAGGAUGGGAACCGCUUCUACGUGACUUUUACCGAUGACUAUAGUAGAUAUGGGUAUAUCUAUUUAAUCAAGCAAAAGUCAGAAACUUUUGAAAAGUUCAAAGAGUUCAAGAAUGAAGUGGAGAAUCAAUUGGGCAGGAAAAUCAAGAUGCUUCGAUCCGAUCGAGGAGGAGAGUACCUAAGUCUUGAAUUCCACAACUAUCUCAAAGAGUGUGGAAUAGUUUCACAAUUGACGCCACCUAGGACACCACAGCUGAAUGGUGUGGUAGAAAGGCGUAAUCGAACCUUGUUAGACAUGGUUCGCUCUAUGAUGAGUCGUGCUUCACUACCUAUCUCUUUUUGGGGGUAUGCCUUAGAGACUGCCGCCCAUAUCCUUAACCGAGUCCCUACUAAGAAGGUUGCCAAAACACCUCACGAGAUGUGGACAGGGAAAGCUCCCUCGUUAGCACAUAUCAAGGUUUGGGGUUGUGAGGAUUUCAUAAGACAAGAUACCCACGACAAGCUCGAACCUCGUAGUGAGCGAUGUAUUUUCAUUGGCUACCCACAUAAAUCCUUUGGCUAUCUCUUUUAUAGACCGAAGGACAAUGUUUUCAUCGUUGCUAGGAGAGGAGUUUUUCGAGAUCGAGAACUCAUAAGCCAAGGAGGCAGUAGGAGGCAAAUCGAACUUGAAGAGAUUCAAGAGUCAAUUGAUGAAGGAACCUCUACCGCUGGCGCUCAACCCGAGGAGGAAACUCCGGUUGAAGCGAUUGACGAGUCCUUACCUCUUAGACGUUCCGAAAGAGUUAGAGUUCAACCCCAGUUUUAUGGUUUUCAUAUUACUACCAAAGGGGACACGCAUAUUAGUGGUGGUACACUAAUAAAUCUAGAUGAACCUAAUAGCUAUAAGCAAGCCAUGGAAGGCCCGGAGCCUGCAAAAUGGAAAGAGGUAAUGGAUAGCGAGAUCCAAUCCAUGUAUGACAACCAAGUUUGGAAUUUGGUUGAUAAUGUGCCCGGACGUAAGACUGUUGGGUGCAAAUAGAUCUUCAAGAAGAAGACCGACGUGGAUGGAAAUGUACACACAUAUAAAAUCUAUUUCAUGAUUAUGAGAUUUGGAAAAUGGAUGUCAAGACCGCUUUCCUUAAUGGGAAGUUGGCUGAGGAUGUUUACAUGGCUCAGCCAGAAGGUUUUGUUGAUCCGAAGCAUCCAAAUAGAGUGUGUAAGCUUGAGAAGUCCAUUUAUGGACUUAAGCAAGCGUCUCGCAGAUGGAAUCUUUGCUUCGAUGAGAAAGUCAAAGAGUUUGGAUUUGUAUGAAGCGAAGAUGAAUCAUGUGUAUAUAUCAAAGCCAGUGGGAGUAUAGUAAGCUUCCUUGUUCUAUAUGUCGAUGACAUACUACUCAUAGGAAACAACGUCCCGACACUGCAGGAGGUCAAGUCCUGGCUCAGGAAGUGCUUCGCUAUGAAGGACCUCGGAGAGGCUUCCUAUAUUAUCAGAAUAAGGAUAAUGAGAGAACGAAGUAAGAGACUAAUAGGACUUAGUCAGAAUACUUACUUAGAUAAAGUACUAAAACGUUUUAGUAUGGAAAAGUCGAAGAAGGGAGAAUUACCAAUACAAAGUAAUGCCAAGUUGAGUAAGACUCAAAGUCCGAGUGCUGAAGCUGAAAUAGUAGAAAUGAGUCGAGUCCCAUACGCUUCCGCAGUUGGCUCAAUCAUGUACGCUAUAACUUGUACUCACCCUGAUGUAGCCUUUGCCUUGAGCAUGAUCAGUAGAUAUCAAGGGAACCCAGGCAGAGCCCAUUGGAUUGCGGUCAAGAAUAUCCUUAAGUACCUUCGGAGGAUGAAGGAAUGGUUUUUAGUCCUCGGAGGGUGUGAUGACUUGAAGGUGAGAGGGUAUAGUGACGCCAGUUUUCAGACCGACAGGGACAACUACCGUUCGCAGUCGGGCUGGGUCUUUACCCUNUUAUAUCUCCUUGCAAUGGCAUUUAUGAAAAAUUGAUGUUUGUAUGUUUCCAGCAAUAUUGGAAAUAUGAUUUUAAUUCUUUCAUUUGUGGUAGUGUCUAAAAUUACCAAAUAAGAAAAGAUUCUCAUCACCCAAGUUUCAAUUGGACAGAAAACUGGAAUCAUGCAAGUUGUAUUGUAUGAUGAAUGAGAAUUUUCAUCUUUGGAAAAUUAAGACUAAUUCCUUGUUCACAUGUAUAUGUGAGUCAAGUGAAGGACUAAGGGAUCGUUGUGCACUUGUCAAGUCCACCACAAAGAUAGAUAAGACUAUUCGUCAUGAUUUACUAAAGUUUAGUAAAUAUGGUUAUACUUACAAGUUUAAGUAUAAUUCUGAAACAUUGGAAAAGUUUCAAUGUAUGGCAGAGUUAAUGAGAAGAAUCAAAUUAGGCAGAAAGACAAAAGUUUCUCAAAUCUGAAAAGAUAGGGGAGUACUUUAGUAUCAUGUUUUAUAACCAUCUUAAUGAUUAUGAAACCAUAUCACAACUGAUCCUCUAAGGACAUUUUAGUGCAUUCUUAUGGCUAAGAAGAAGAUUCAUGAAUUGUUGAAGUGGUUAAAUCAAGAAGAUGAGUCAUACUUCGUUCCAAAACAAUUCUUAGAGUCAUACUCCAAGAUUGUAACUUGAGUUACAUAUCUUAAAGAAGGUUUAUAACACUUGUCAUAUGUAGAGCAAAAUGUUUUCUACUCUUGUACAUUUGAAAUUGGUAAGUUGUGAUGUUUUGGAUAAAACAAAGACCAACUAAGGCCAAUUGUGUGAAGUGUUUGUCUUGAUAAGAAUCCGCACUAACUCUUGAUAUUUGUUGUCAAGUAAUGGUAUUAGAAAAAUAGAAACUUAUAUGUCAAGAGGUCAGUGGAAGUCUUAAAGAUUCUGAAAGAGUUUCAAGAACUAAUCAAGAAUAAAACUUGUAGUUUAUCACUAGCAUACGACUUGAGGUUUGUAACCUAUCGUGUUGAUAUAUUCUUAUUUUUGUGCCCAUUCCAGUUAAAGUUGACUAUGAAUGACAAUUCUAUUGAUGACAUAACAACUUGGAAGACAUGGUAGGCCCUUGUGCUGCCCGGUGGAAAGAAAAUAAGGUUGAGCAAGUUCCGUCCAUAUGAGUUUGGAUUUGUUACUAAUCUUAUCUUGUGAUUAUGCUAAUGACAAAUUCACAUGGAUAAGAACACAUAUACCAUAAAAUCUAAGUGUCAUAAGGUUUCUCUCCUGUUCAUGAAAAUGAUGGUGAGGAAACGCUUUCAUUAAGUAGAUUUUAAGUAGAUAGGUAUUGUGAUAUUUGCAAUCUCAAAUUCGUUAGUGGAGCGUGUGUGGUUAACCAGCACACUAACAUGGAGUAGUGAGAAUGGCAAAAGGUCUAAAAAUUAUGAUUAUGGCAUCCCUCUUCAUAAUUGUGUUGGAAUAGUGUCUAAGGCUGCAACUAUAUUAGGCAAGUAUUUGACCCGAUUGUGCAUGGUCCUUUUGGGUUGCCUUCACCAUAGCAACUUGACAGGAUGAUUUGUAAUGAGAGAAGAAAUAUUAUUUAUAUAUUAUGAGAAUAAUAUAAGGAAUAAUAAUAUUGUUAUUUGAUUAAUAUAAGUCAUAAAUUAAUUAGGAAUUAAUUUGGUGACUUAAAGAGAUUAAUUAAAUAAAAUGGCAUAAACUGUCAAUUGUAUGAUAGUUGUACUUUGGGCUGUAAUCCCUUAAGGAUAAGGGGUGGACGGUUUUAGGGCUUUGGAUAGACCUAGAAAUCGUCCAAGGCUUAUCAUAAGGGGGAUCGGAUUGCUUAGGGCCUAAGUUAUCCAAUUAGGGUUUAAGGGAGAAACCUUAGGAGCCUUACAAGUAUAAAUAGACCCAAGGGGUCAAUGAAAUCGACACUCUUGCCUUUGGAAUAACCAUGGCCGACUUCUUUCCCUCUCCCCUCUCUCUCUAAUCAUCCUCUUGCUAAGUUGGCGUUUGUAAGCCAUUAGAGGAGUGAUAAUUAUGACUCUAAGCUCCAAGGACAAGAAGAUUCAAUCCAACAACUUAAAGUAAUCUUCUAGAUCUGUUUUUCUUAUGUUAUUACCUAGAUCUAUUGUUCAAAAGUCUUGGAUACAAUGCAUGUUCAAUUAGACAAACCUAGAUCCAAGCAUUAGGGUUUGUAUGUGCACAUAGGAAUGUUCUUACGGCUAAAACCCAUCAGCAAAGGACUAGGAUACACUCUAUUUGAGCAUGGUAGGGAAUGUGUUAGCUGCAGCAUGGAACGAUCAAGAGGAGUAUAUCAGGGCAGUGACUCUUUUUGUCUAUGAUGGGUAUCGAGAAUGGAAGUGGAUUCUCUGCUCUUAUGAUGGGAAAUGUGUUAGAGCGUGGUUGAGGAGUCGAGGAUGAAGAGAAUGAUAGUUCAUUAUUUCCAGGCUAAGAGUCAGAGUUAAUACUGGACAGUUGGGGAGGUUCGG